AGACGCGGUUAUACAAUUACUUUAGUCUAAUAUAAAACGGCGUAAAGAGUAAACUUUUCUUUCUUUAAUCUCUAAAACUAAACCAAUUUACUAUAGUUAAAUAUGUAAAUUUUUCAAACACCAACUAAAGCAGUUUUAAGAACAAGCUUAUAACUUUACGAAAGUUAGGACC
rnacentral:rRNA from 1 species